rnacentral:rRNA from 1 species
GGAGGAUCGGGGGGAGCGGCAGGAGGAGUAGGCCGCCCGGAUAAUCGUGGCCUAGGACGGCUGCGGCUGCCUCUACCGGCGGAGGUUGGUGGUUCCGGGCCUAGACACCGAGAGAGACCAGCGACCGACGACGGAUUUAGGUCGGGUCCGGCGAGCGCGAUGACACGGCGCGGCCGUUGCAGGUGUCGCAGCUUGGCGACGACGGCAGGACGAAGAGCACCAAGGCGUCGGUGAAAGCAGCGCGAGGCUGAGAGUGGCCGCAGGUGGCCCUAGCUGGAGGACUGAAUCGGUACGCCAAUUCGUCGUUCCCUCCAAGCGACCGAAAGCAGCACGUCAAGCGGCGCGGAGGGGUGGCGAUCAGUGCGUUGGAGGUGGCGGCGUCACCUCGUCGCGGUGGUGACACCGGCACGGGUAGGCGCCCCUACAACUCCGGUCACGCUGGUCCCGGAUCUCGAGCGGAGAAGGGGGCGCUCCCCGAGGCUGCCGAGGAACAGGGCGUGGGAGGAGGUGGAAAGAGACCGCGAGCGUCCUGUGUCGGCUACCCACGCCGCGGAGCUCACCAACGACGGUCGCCGCCUACGUCGGAGCACGGGGGCGCGCUAGCCUAGGGUAGGGGUGGUGGAUGCCGGUGGUAGACACCAUGACGUAGACGCCGGUGCUGAAUAGAGGGAGCGUCCGCUGAGAGAGGGAGAAGGUGGCGGCUAAACCGGUCGCUCGCCGCGGUGGCUCCAGUCGCCGAAGCAGCUACCACCACGAGAGAGUGCGGGAGGCUGCUGGGGGACUAGGGGAGGGAGUCCACUUGAGAGAACGCUACGUCGAGACAAAUCCCCGGGCUAACGUUUAGCACGUCAAGUAAAACUCCGCACAAAAAACGAUCCUAGGUCCUACGUCGAGUGAAUCUUUAGGAAACCACCGGGGCUUGUGAAGGACGUCGAGACAGGACCGUAUACACGUCGAGAGAAGAAGAGACACACGUUACGUUUUUUAAACCAACUACACGUCGGCGGCUACUACCGAGGCCGAGACAAGAGAGACAACACGUGUUCAGGUACCUGUGCUAACGAAAAUCCGAAAAGUAAAACUCCCGAUAACAUAAUUUUUUCCCAAUAAAACAUGCCGACCCCACACGUGUGCGUCAAGUGGCCGCUCGGCGAUGGCCAACGUCGUCGUGCCCGCUCGAGAGAAGAAAAGAUGACGAUAAAAAUCAUCUUUUACCACGAAAAAAACACACAACACCUCAAACGUACAGUACGACCUCUGCAAGUAACGUGACAGCUACCGUCAAAUAUGAAACAUUAACUCUUCACGGAUGCAUUUUAAAGUCAAGGAGCACCGUGGUGGUCAUAUUUAAAGUCGAGUCUACGGGGGACCUACACACCGUACGUAGUGGAAUACAACUUCAAAAAACGGGAGGUUACACACAAAAGUCGUAAAAACGUAACAUGCACGUCACGUGUACACGGUGGGGGAUAUCACGUGAUCAUAACAAGGACGUCACGUGAUCAGAACAAGCACGUCACGUCUUACAUACGUCUAUUGACGAGAGCAGAAGCGCCACGUCUUGUGUGCUACCUUUUUUCUUUUUCUUAUUGAAGG